UAAUACGGAGGGGGCUAGCGUUGUUCGGAAUUACUGGGCGUAAAGCGCGCGUAGGCGGCUUUGUAAGUUAGAGGUGAAAGCCCGAAGCUCAACUUCGGAAUUGCCUUUAAGACUGCAUCGCUAGAAUCAUGGAGAGGUUAGUGGAAUUCCGAGUGUAGAGGUGAAAUUCGUAGAUAUUCGGAAGAACACCAGUGGCGAAGGCGACUAACUGGACAUGUAUUGACGCUGAGGUGCGAAAGCGUGGGGAGCAAACA
rnacentral:rRNA from 1 species